CAACUAGCUGGAAGCCGGAAGGGUGGCCCUGCCUGCAGACUGAAGAGGGGCAGGGCAGGUGCCCAGUCCAGAGAGGAGGGGCUAAAGAUGACAAGCGGCACCCCACCUCCCCCCAACUCACAUGGGACUGGAUCCACCCUGAGGAGGUACGGGUCAACAUCCUGUUUCCGGCAAGCCCUCCUGGAGGCCACACAGAGGGGUGUUUAUUCGCAGUGGGCGGCGGGAGAGAUGCUAAUCGCGGUGGAUCGCUGGUCCCAGCUGAAGGUCAGGAGGUGGACCUGCCCUGACACAUUUCCACGCCUGAGCCCUGUUAAAGUAUGAAGAAAGUCAAGGACUGGCUGCCCCAGGUUCUCCUCCCUGUCCAGUGGCUGAGAUGGGCUCCGGGUUGGACUCAGGCUGAGCAGCUCCUAUAGGCCUAAAGCCUGUAGCCCGAGGAUGCCCAGGACAGCAGAACAGACUUUCAGCUCCGCCCCUCGGGACUGGGCCAGCUCCGCCCCCCUGCUACCUCACCAUCUGCACUAGGAUUAGUAAUGGGACGGUCAAGCCUACUCUGCUCAGUCAGCCCUGACCUGCCAGUCCUCUAGGCUCCUUCCUGGUUGGCUAACCACAGUCACCUCCUCCACAAAGUAAGGCAAAACCCUGAUCGUCACCAUUGCUCAUCGAGUAUCUAUGCCAGAAAGAUGGAGGGGGAGGGGGAGGAGGAAA